rnacentral:pre_miRNA from 1 species
UGGCUACAAAAUAACAUAUUCUGUAGCCACUUUAAGAUACGAUAAUAACUAUGUUAAUUUAUGAGAUUAUAGUAACUUCUUACUAAGUGCUUUGCUAUAAUGUUACGGUAAAUAUCUCCAUGUGUUAUAGUAACCCAACUAUAGUAAAUAUGUAUACAUAUUAUCGUAAAUUAGUAUAUAAAAUCAACGUAAAUAGAAGUGGCUACAGAAUAACUUAUUUUGUAGCUA